UUUUUGGUUUGUUUUGAAAAGCCUUCCUCUUUCGCAGGAACAAAAAUACGUCAUUAUGAACUUAUAGGAGCCUGACUGGAGCACACUCAAAGCAAACCAGGUGUCACGGCGUUAUCUAUGGAUCUGUGUCCGUGACAGGGGGACAGCAGGCCCACAGGCCCACCGGCAUGGAAACAGAGGAGAAAAAAAAGGUGUUGGCAGUUUAGGGGCCGGCUCGGACCAGUCCCAUGGUUAAUGCGGCAGGGGACCCAUGGACCCAUGCUGUGGGGACACAAAGGGAAAAAGGGAAGGGUAGGAAAAUCGUAGACGGGUCUAAAACAAAACAGCAGCACCAAUCUGAGGAGGAAUGUUAAUUUACUAAAUAUUAUAUCGAAAUUGAGGCCAAUAAAUCAAACAGAGAGGGUUCCAAACUGAGAUUCUUACACCAUAAGCUGCUGAGGGACCAUGUGCUUCUCCAUCAGGUAUGAAGAGAAGAGAGUGCUCGGUCUGCCAGGUGGCUUCACCACCCCUUCCAGACACAAAGACUCCUGGGGAGUGCAGCUCCUUCCCCUCCCCCUCGGAGGACCAAACACCCAAAAAAGGCAGUCCCCAGAAACCAGGACAUUAACUCUUUAAAAAUGCUAGUGCUUUACAUGAUGUUAUGAUGUGGAAUACUGACAACAACAAAAAAAAAAAAUCACAAAACCAUGACACCAGGUUGAUAUAAUCUUUCUGUGCCAGGUGUGUGACUAUUUUUUUUUUUUUACCCUAGCACAUGAACAAUGGGUAACUGACACAAUGAAAUUGCUACCUUCAAACAGUUCAAUACAUUUCCAGUUGUUUCUGGGUCAAAGGGCUGCAUUUCCACAAGCUGUUUCAGCUACACUUUGUGAAGUCAGAAUUCUAUUUGACUCUCCUGGAAACUUCUAAAUGGACUUCUUACUGAGUAACACUUCGUUCAGUGAGAUGGAAUAUUCACAAAGCUUCACUAAAUCGUUUACUGCAUACAAGCUGAUUACGUAUCAAAAUAUCACUCAAAGAAUUUUGAGAAGUGUUCAAAUGGAACUCAGAAUGCAGAGGCAGAGCUGGAUAUCUGCCCAUUUUGCAGCAGUUCACCUGGCUCCUCAGCAGCAGGGAGCUGGAAACAAGGACGCGCAAGUUUCCUACCACCUGAGCUCCAGCCUGCCUCUCCCUGGACAGACUCCUGCUCACCAAGGAGCACCAGGAGCCCACAAAGCUGCCACAGGAAGCUGAUCUAAUUCUUUUAGUUUCAUUAGCAUCCCCACUGAUCAACAGCAGCAAAACUGUCAGACCCCUUCAGCUUCACACAGCAGCUGGCAGGGAUCCUGGGGAACACAAAGAGUUUCUUAAGCAAAAUACUAUAUGAUUUUAAUUGUAUAUUCAGAGGGAGAGGAGCCAUUUUGUAACCCAGUUUAGAAUUUUCAUUGUUUUGGGAUGAAAACUGGUGAGUAUAGAAAUUUGCUUUCAACGGCAGCUCUACCAGAACCAACUGAAUCACUCCUAUUUGGAUGCAUCCAUUUACGGCAUUUCCUGCAAAGGAUGAGGAACUGGCUACAAGCUAUACAUUCAGAUCUACACUCAGGGUUUCACCAACAAACCUUUCAGCCAGAGGAGAAGCCCUCCUGUGGUGAACAAGCUUCUCAUAGAAACAGUGGUUAGAUAUGAUCCAAUGAAGUUUAAGAACUAUUUCUCAAACAGACCAGCCCCUGCAUGGGAUGAGCCACAUGGAUACAGGUGAAGCUUAUUCCAAAGCCACCCACACACUGCACAAGGUACUCACUCUGUGGCAAUAGGACACCCUCUUAUUGCAUGUGUGAAGCAAUUAACAUUAUACAGUCCUGCUCUGGACUGAUUUUCCAAUAAGAGCAGAUGGCAUAGUCAAGAAGACUUCAAAAUAGAGUAAUUUAAUAAUCCAAGUAUUUUAGAGAAGAAAGCUUCCUUCAUUUUUAUAAACUUCUGGCCCUUGCAGGACUGAAAGAGUACAUUAUGGAACCACUGUGAGAGAAAAGAAUUUAAAUCUGAUUUUAACAUAGUUGUGCCUGUGUCUAUAUGUAUGAAUAACAUCUCCUCCAUCUUUCAUGAAACAAGGUUUACCUGACUGUGUUCUAAAGCAGUGUGUGAGCACUGUAUGUUGGCCUGCUCACUUGCACGUUGGGUCUUAGCCCAAGAGAGGCUCUUGGGAAAAGCAUACAACACAAAAAGACUAGCUGAAGACUAUCCCACAGCCAAUACA
ensembl:lncRNA